GCUUGCUCUUAUGAAGUUAGCGGCGGACGGGUGAGUAACACGUGGGUAACCUGCCCAUAAGACUGGGAUAACUCCGGGAAACCGGGGCUAAUACCGGAUAACAUUUUGAACCGCAUGGUUCGAAAUUGAAAGGCGGCUUCGGCUGUCACUUAUGGAUGGACCCGCGUCGCAUUAGCUAGUUGGUGAGGUAACGGCUCACCAAGGCAACGAUGCGUAGCCGACCUGAGAGGGUGAUCGGCCACACUGGGACUGAGACACGGCCCAGACUCCUACGGGAGGCAGCAGUAGGGAAUCUUCCGCAAUGGACGAAAGUCUGACGGAGCAACGCCGCGUGAGUGAUGAAGGCUUUCGGGUCGUAAAACUCUGUUGUUAGGGAAGAACAAGUGCUAGUUGAAUAAGCUGGCACCUUGACGGUACCUAACCAGAAAGCCACGGCUAACUACGUGCCAGCAGCCGCGGUAANUACGUAGGUGGCAAGCGUUAUCCGGAAUUAUUGGGCGUAAAGCGCGCGCAGGUGGUUUCUUAAGUCUGAUGUGAAAGCCCACGGCUCAACCGUGGAGGGUCAUUGGAAACUGGGAGACUUGAGUGCAGAAGAGGAAAGUGGAAUUCCAUGUGUAGCGGUGAAAUGCGUAGAGAUAUGGAGGAACACCAGUGGCGAAGGCGACUUUCUGGUCUGUAACUGACACUGAGGCGCGAAAGCGUGGGGGAGCAAACAGGAUUAGAUACCCUGGUAGUCCACGCCGUAAA
rnacentral:rRNA from 1 species